UUUUCCUAUUUAAGCCACUUUUUCACUUUCAUCUUUUUACUAUAAACUCGCAGGCCUGACUUAGUCUAAUUAAUAAGGCAACAAGGGAGGCAGCUCCUUCUCAAAUAACGUUGAAUCUUGAGGCACAACAUAGGUAUCUAACUUGGAGAGCCCAAAAGACAUGAUCAGUUUCAUUCCAAGCCUUUGUACCACGAGCUGAAGUUGGCGAGAUUGGCACCGUGAUGCAACUAGUGGCUCCAAGAAAGUGAUAGGUGUGACAGUUGCUCCCAAAAGAAUGGGCGUUUCUCCAUUAGGAAGCGAGCUUGAAGUUAAGAACUUAAGAUGUGACCUGCAACCCCUAAUUUGAGCAUGGCGCCCAACACUUCAGGUCCACGGGGUUAGAUAACAUGAUUUAUCUCCAAAAUGAGCGAGAGCUGAAAAGGGAGAAAAGAAAGUAGUCAAACCGAGAAUCUGCCAGAAGGUCUAAAUUAAGGAAAUAGGUAGAGGUGACUUUUCUAAUUUUAUGAUCUUAAUCUUACAUGAAUAUGAAAAAUCCCAUAUUUGGGUUCAUGGUCAAAGUUAACAUGUUGUAUAAAACUACGUUG